AAAUUGAAGAGUUUGAUCAUGGCUCAGAUUGAACGCUGGCGGCAGGCCUAACACAUGCAAGUCGAGCGGUAGCACAGAGAGCUUGCUCUCGGGUGACGAGCGGCGGACGGGUGAGUAAUGUCUGGGAAACUGCCUGAUGGAGGGGGAUAACUACUGGAAACGGUAGCUAAUACCGCAUAACGUCGCAAGACCAAAGUGGGGGACCUUCGGGCCUCAUGCCAUCAGAUGUGCCCAGAUGGGAUUAGCUAGUAGGUGGGGUAAUGGCUCACCUAGGCGACGAUCCCUAGCUGGUCUGAGAGGAUGACCAGCCACACUGGAACUGAGACACGGUCCAGACUCCUACGGGAGGCAGCAGUGGGGAAUAUUGCACAAUGGGCGCAAGCCUGAUGCAGCCAUGCCGCGUGUGUGAAGAAGGCCUUCGGGUUGUAAAGCACUUUCAGCGGGGAGGAAGCCGUUAAGGUUAAUAACCUUGGCGAUUGACGUUACCCGCAGAAGAAGCACCGGCUAACUCCGUGCCAGCAGCCGCGGUAAUACGGAGGGUGCAAGCGUUAAUCGGAAUUACUGGGCGUAAAGCGCACGCAGGCGGUCUGUCAAGUCGGAUGUGAAAUCCCCGGGCUCAACCUGGGAACUGCAUUCGAAACUGGCAGGCUAGAGUCUUGUAGAGGGGGGUAGAAUUCCAGGUGUAGCGGUGAAAUGCGUAGAGAUCUGGAGGAAUACCGGUGGCGAAGGCGGCCCCCUGGACAAAGACUGACGCUCAGGUGCGAAAGCGUGGGGAGCAAACAGGAUUAGAUACCCUGGUAGUCCACGCCGUAAACGAUGUCGAUUUGGAGGUUGUGCCCUUGAGGCGUGGCUUCCGGAGCUAACGCGUUAAAUCGACCGCCUGGGGAGUACGGCCGCAAGGUUAAAACUCAAAUGAAUUGACGGGGGCCCGCACAAGCGGUGGAGCAUGUGGUUUAAUUCGAUGCAACGCGAAGAACCUUACCUGGUCUUGACAUCCACAGAACUUUCCAGAGAUGGAUUGGUGCCUUCGGGAACUGUGAGACAGGUGCUGCAUGGCUGUCGUCAGCUCGUGUUGUGAAAUGUUGGGUUAAGUCCCGCAACGAGCGCAACCCUUAUCCUUUGUUGCCAGCGGUUAGGCCGGGAACUCAAAGGAGACUGCCAGUGAUAAACUGGAGGAAGGUGGGGAUGACGUCAAGUCAUCAUGGCCCUUACGACCAGGGCUACACACGUGCUACAAUGGCAUAUACAAAGAGAAGCGACCUCGCGAGAGCAAGCGGACCUCAUAAAGUAUGUCGUAGUCCGGAUUGGAGUCUGCAACUCGACUCCAUGAAGUCGGAAUCGCUAGUAAUCGUAGAUCAGAAUGCUACGGUGAAUACGUUCCCGGGCCUUGUACACACCGCCCGUCACACCAUGGGAGUGGGUUGCAAAAGAAGUAGGUAGCUUAACCUUCGGGAGGGCGCUUACCACUUUGUGAUUCAUGACUGGGGUGAAGUCGUAACAAGGUAACCGUAGGGGAACCUGCGGUUGGAUCACCUCCUUACCUUAAAGAA
rnacentral:rRNA from 1 species